CCUGGAUUUACAGAAGCUGUCUGUGUUUCUGAUUUGAUCCCAGAAUGUCCUGCUUUUCCUUAGGACAUCCCUAUUUUCAUCAGAGAACUGUUGAAGGGUAUGGAGUUCUGAGAACCCCCGAGCUAAGAAGAUAAGUGACUAUACAAGCUUUAGAAGUACAAGACUGCAGUGAUGCUACUGAAAUGUAUGUUGAACAAGCCUCUUAGGCCAAAUUGCUGAUCCUUGUGACAUGACAGCCUGAUUCAUUCCAACAUGUACACUGAAAUUAAAAGGUAAUAACAUAAAAU